AGGCAUUUAAUGAAGCUUCCUUGCAUAGCUCCCCAAUUAGAAGAGGAUCUGCUAGAGAUGGAUUAUUUUUAAUCGAAUGACAAUUGAUAGUUGGGAACUGGUCACAGGUACAAAGACUCACAGGACACAGGAUUUUGUAUAUUACUGAUGGAUGCAGUGUGAAUUGUGGAUGCUGCAUACUUAAACUUGGUUGAGCCAACUUAAAACAACAACAACAACACAUUCUUUCCAGCCUACUUCCAUGCCAUACUACUACAGCAGCUUUCAAGAUGAACAUUUGACAAGCCAGCUCACCGCCGACUGACACCUCCAUUUCAGCUGGCCUGACAUAUAUAGAAAGAAACUGAAUGUUUAUUCGUGUGCUUUCCGGAUUUGACAUAUGUGCUAUAUAAGAGUCACAGAAGGAAACUUCAGAAAAGAAAUUAGGAGUGUACUUGUCAGUUUAUUAAUCAAAGUUUACCUGCUUCACAUUACACAGAGACAAAUUAAGCUGGCUACUAUGGUGCUUCAAAAACAUCUGCUAACAAAGUCAGAAGUAAUGAUAAACAAACGAGUUCCCUUUGUGGUUGAUUUUCAUCCAGCUGCAUUUAAUUAUAAUAGCACUAUCAAAGAAAGCUCCCCAUUAGUUGCUAAUUCAGAAUGACUUCAGAAGAAACUCCCAAAGCCUCCAGUGAUAUUCCUCCAACUCCAACAACUUCCUAAUCUCUGCCAAUGUUUAUGGAGAGCCAUAUUAAAGAACUUUGGUUAUCAGUCCUAACUCAUGGACUGCCAAAGUGGUAUUUGUUGUUUUUUUCUAAAGACCACCUUUGUAAUAAUGUGACCAAUUAAAUUUUUUAAAUGACAAAAUUUAUAACUUUAGAAUUAGAUAAUAAAAUGCUUCAAAAAGGUAAGGAGAAGUCUUAUUUUAAUGCAUAGUACAAGUAAAAUGCAAGCCCAGUCAUGUAAUUCAUCAGUUUACAUUCACCAUAGCUAGACAUAAAGUGACA